UACGUAGGGUGCAAGCGUUAAUCGGAAUUACUGGGCGUAAAGCGUGCGCAGGCGGUUAUGUAAGUCAGAUGUGAAAUCCCCGGGCUUAACCUGGGAACUGCAGUCGAGACUGUCUAGCUAGAGUAUGGGAGAGGGAAGUGGAAUUUCAGGUGUAGCGGUGAAAUGCGUAGAUAUCUGAAGGAACAUCAGUGGCGAAAGCGACUUCCUGGACCAAUACUGACGCUCAUGUGCGAAAGCGUGGGGAGCAAACAGG
rnacentral:rRNA from 1 species